GCCUUGUAAAAAGUAAGAUCAACAUAAGAUUUACACAGUUUUAUGGAAUUGUUUUAUAAGCUAUUUUGACAAUGAAUCCUGCUAUCAAAAUCACCUCUGGUGCUAAUCAUGGAGGAGGCAUUUAGCAAGAGCUAACAAAGAUUAUUUUAAACCCCUUUCCAAAUUAGCUGUGGAGCUGAGCUGGUUAGCCCCUGAGAUUGGGGGCACCACUCAUGCUGCAGCGAGUACAGGAUUGUGGGUUGGUGGGGCAGAGUUUUAAAUUGUGGGGGUGGAUGUUUGUUGGAAUAUUUCACCCUGCUCAGCCAGGGAUGGGGACUGGGUAGGAAAUAGAGAGGUGAAGCCAGAGAUCUUCCUUGGCCUCAGGAUGCCCCUGCUCAGGGGUUGGGAGACUUCUGCAUCUGAGCCUACGCAGGCAAGGGGACCAGGAGGGGAUACUGCGUGGCAAGCCAAGACCUCACAGCAUGUCUCUGGGACAAACAUACGGCCCAAUCAAGAUGUGGUCUCUUUCCUCAGAUGUUUCUAGCUGAAAUCAUCCUAGAAGUGCUCCACAAAGAGGCAGGGACAGGAUCCCUGAUAUGUCUACACCAGGUAUCUCUGGGUCUUGCAGGAGGCCAACACAAUGAUUUCUGCUGUUUUAUCACAAGACGUCCCCUCUCUGCCUGAGGCUGGUGGUUCAUUGAGGAGCUCCUUGUGCAGCCUGGACUUAGCGAGUUUGAGACACUGGCCUAAAGGUGCAGUUUCAGGAGUGGCUUAGAUCUCAAGGAGAAGAAGUCAGGAUCAAAUUGAGAUUUGCUUCAAGCUCUCAGGACACUCCCGCUUUCCUUAUAAUUUGACAUGUGAGUAGGCCAACAGCUGUGCUGGGUCAGACCCAGAUCCAACAGUCCCGAAAGGAGAUCUCCUACAGAAGCCACAGGCAGAUGCCUCACAGAAAGCAACAGCAAGGCAAGCACAUCAUGUUUUCCCCAAGCACUUUCCCAGAAUGACUGUCUGCAGCACAGGGGAUUUCCUGACACUGCUGCUGAGCAGCCCCUGGUGGAGCUCUGUUUUCUAGGUGUUUGUACAAUCUUUCCUUGGACCCAGGGAUACUUUCAGCACCCCAAUAGCCUCUACAUAAGGUGCUCCAUGGGUCAUUUCUGCCCAGAAAGAGCCACCUGCACCUCCUCGUCAAACCUGGCUCCUGGCAGCUUCAUUCGGUGGCUCUAACUCUUGCAUUGGAAGAGAGCCGACAGCUGCUCCCUGUCAGAUUUCUCCCAGUGACUCAAGAUUUUGCAAACCUCUGCCACAUCCCCCAAGCUAUUUCUUUUCCACAUACUUAGAAAUCCAAACUAAAUGCAGAGGGAUAUAAUAGCUCAUGUCUGUAUUUCCAGUUGCUCUGUGCUCUGAAGGUGCCAGAAGAGGACGGCUGUGGGCUGAGUUAGGUGUGCAGUUUGUGUUUUGGCCUCCUCUCCUAAAUUUGGCCCAGUGUUCCUCGUCUUUAUACUCAGGCAGUUCUUGGGUCUCUGCACGCCUGGGAUAUUGAACACGUGGCAUAACUGUGCAGCACUUUUUUGCAGUAUAUGAUUUGGCCACGAGAUGUCUCUUUAAGCCGUAUGCAACUCCAGGCUAGUAAACACAGGGCCCAAGCUGGAUCAAAAGCCAUACAGAAGCUCUCGGGGCAAACCAUUUGGAGUAUCCCUGGUGAACACCCCCUACUGCGGUUAACAGGAUUGUUGAGCAAAGCAGUAAGUGUAAGUAGAGGUGAUACUGUUUAUCAGACCGGUAGGUAUAGGUGGGAGGGGAAAUAAAAACAGCUAAGCUUUCAAGCACACAAUACCUUCUUCACUCCAAAAAUACAAGCUGCCAUUCUCAAACUAAAUCUUAGCUGUGAACAAUCACCCUGAGUCUAGCUUGAUUUUUGUUAAUUAUUUCAAUUUAUGGGAAGAAAAGGCUGAUUGAUGCCUGUGGAGAAAAGAAAAUGGUGUUAGCAAGGAGAGAAGGCAAUUGAUAAGAUUGUUGACUCCUGUAGCAAAGAAAGAGAAAGAGAGGAGAAAAGAGAGAGAGAUGAUUACUGACUGUGAGAUAAUGAAAGGUUUACUGUUGCUAGUUUUAGGAAAAUAUAUGUGCUGUAAAAUCUAGUGAGUUUGUCAGUUCCAGUAUCCAGCAGAUUUGGAAAUGUAAGCUUAUCUUUUAAAGCUAUUUCAUAAGUAUCCCAUGGGGCUUUGGACCAGAAAGUCAGAGAUGGAGUGAUUAUUUUGUGAAAAAUCACUCCUAUUGGCAACCGAGUGCAUCAGGUGCACUGUAAUACCACGUAACAUUAAAAUAAUUUCCAGGAGAUUGUCUCUAGUAUCAUGAAUUGAUAACAAGUUCCUAGCACGAAAUUGACCCUGACAAAAAACUUGCCUACCGCUCUGAACGUUAUGAAAUGACCAUUUUAUGGCAGAGAAAGUGCUGGUGGUGAUACCAGGACAAAACACUCAUCAUCCAGUCCCUCUCCUUAGCUGGUAACUGUCCCAACGCAGGACGAGAACCAUUUCUGCAAAUAAGUGGCAAAAUGUUUGUUUGAUCCGCUAGCUGGAGCCCUUUGUUGGGAGCUCACAAUGUGUGGAAAAAAGAGAAGAAAAGAUCUGGCUGUAAUGCAGCUGGAAUGAAUGCUUUCCUUGCCUGCCGAUCAGAGCAGAUUAUAGUUCACCUGCUGUGAACUAAUCUCCCAGGGAGAGGGUCGGUUGUUUGGAUAGUGUUGCUAAUGGAAGGCAAAACCUUUCUGCACGUUCCCUCCUUCAGCGCUCCGUCUGUUUAGAAGAUGAGUCAGUCCUGGGUUAUUCAUCAACUUAGUUAGGAGCUAUCCACCCAAGUUCACAAGUACCUCUAAAGCGCUUUACAAUUACAGGAAAUUAUGCUUAGGAGCUAAUGUUAAAACACAGCUAUCUUCUCACUUCUCAGGCAUGAGAGGGAGAAUGUCAGAUUCGUGGCCGCAUUAUUUCGUUGUGCUAGAGAGACUACGUGGGUGGAAUUUAUUCCCUACCUGAGCGCUUUGCUUUGUGGAUCUGAGCUCUUCUCUAAUACUGAGGGGGAUAUUUUCCUGGGGGAGGCUGGGAAGGAAGUGAGUCAGUGCCUUGGGAAGCCUUUCUGGUGA